UGAACCGGUGAAAAGGUGUAUGUGCCAGC
rnacentral:piRNA from 1 species